ensembl:lncRNA
AAAUACAGUUGUUUUUGAGCAAUAGUUAAGUUAAAUAAAACUACCCAGAAGGCUGGGUUAAAUGUUUAAUCCUACUGCUGGGUCAAAACAACCCAUUCGCUCGGUUUGUCUAUAUUUCACCUAGUGCUGGGUUGAUUUUAACCCAGCAUUUUUUAAAGUGUAGCUUAAGUGUAAUUAGAUGUCUGUUGUUAGUAGUAGUUUAUGUAGUGUUGCUAGCACUGAUCUGGAGAUAUUUUGAUAUUUAUCGUAAGAAGACCAAAUGAGUGAUUGGAGUCGAGUGUGCCAGUGAAAGGUCCCUUGACCCAAAACCUUAUAAUGUUUAUUGACUCACCUACCACUUUAAUUUCCCCAACAAUAUGAGCUUCAGACAGCCUGGCUAUCCAUCAGUGUCUGGCAGCUCAGCUCGGCUCUGAAAUAAGUGCUACCAAAGCAUGUUGGAGAACUAAUACCUGGUCUGUAGUGUGUUUAUUGUGUAGUUUACUGUGCUCAGAUCAUAUUCUGAUAACAAACACAUUUAUGAAUACUGUAUCAGAUUGUUAUAGAUAACAACGGGUUGAAGGUCCAUGGGCACACAUCGCAGAGCUAUUGCAAGACAAGCAUAAGACCUAUAUUCCUCGGCUGGGAUUGUGUAGAGCCAUUUGAAGCUGCAUUGAAACUGCAAUUUGGACCUUGAACUCCUUGAACCCCAUUGACGUCCACUAUAUGGAGGAAUAUCCUGGAAUGUUUUCCUCAAUUUCCUCCUUAAUUUCUUUUCGACUGAAGAAAGAAAGACAUGGACAUGAGUGAUUAUGAACACAGUAAUUGCUCACUCCCUGUGUUGGGAUUCAACUUCAUAUGCCGAUGCCCAUUAGGCCAAAUGGGACUGCGAUACAAGCUGGACUGACCCUGAGCUGCUUUAAAACAACAUGUUCUGCCCACCCACCAUCUGUCCUCAGUGAAUGCCCAGCCUUGAGCACAAAUCUGGAAUUGAUAUGGAAAGUACAUCUCCAUCAUCAGCAGUGGUCAGAUAGCUUGAGCUUAACACCGCUUCCAGUAGUAUUUAUCUCCUUGAAAGCCCAGUUACAAGUUUGAAACUUGAACAAAAUUGCUUUGAUUAUCGGUAUAUUAAAGGAAUUGUUUAUACAAAAAUAAAAAUUUGCUAAAAUUGUACUUAUUCAAGAUGUAGUUUGUUUCUUCAUCAGAACAGAUAUGGAGAAAUUUUGCAUCGCAUCACUUGCUUACAAAUGGAUCCUCUACAGU